ACUCAGAGAGCCCUCUACAGAGACGUCAUGCCGGAGAACUAUGAAAAUGUGACCUCGCUGGGGUUUCCAGUUUCCCAACCUGAUGUGAUCUCCCAGCUGGAACAACGGGAAGAGCCAUGAGUCACAGACCUCCAGGGUUCAGAGGAAAGAAAGAUCCUGAGAGUUCCCUGCACAGAUGAGGAAACAUUAAACCAACUCAGAAUCUCAGGUGACGCAAUGGUACGUGAGAAAGAGGAGCAGAAUUAUCAGCAGGGAAAUGUUGAGCAAGUGGAUAAACACAGAGAAUUAUCGCAGAGAUAGAAAAGGAAUGUGUCCUGGAAUCAUGAGCCGGGAAACUCCAGUGAGAUUCAGCACAGACCAGAAAGAGAGCAGGGAAACCAGCCAGGGAAGAAAGCGGGUAAAUUUAUUUCCUGUUGGGGAACAGAGAAGGGCCUCAAGGAAACCACAACCCAGCAGGAAAUCCU